rnacentral:rRNA from 1 species
AGAGUUUGAUCCUGGCUCAGGACGAACGCUGGCGGCGUGCAUAACACAUGCAAGUCGAACGGAACUAUUAGCAAUAAUAGUUUAGUGGCGGACGGGUGAGUAACGCGUGGGCAACCUGCCCCGGACUGGGGAAUAACGCAGAGAAAUCUGCGCUAAUACCGCAUAACACCAUAAUACCGCAUGGUAAGAUGGUCAAAGGAGAAAUCCGGUUUGGGAUGGGCCCGCGUCCGAUUAGCUAGUUGGUGAGAUAACAGCCCACCAAGGCAACGAUCGGUAGCCGGACUGAGAGGUUGGCCGGCCACAUUGGGACUGAGACACGGCCCAGACUCCUACGGGAGGCAGCAGUGGGGAGUAUUGCGCAAUGGAGGAAACUCUGACGCAGCGACGCCGCGUGAAGGAUGAAGGCCUUCGGGUUGUAAACUUCUGUCUUCAGGGACGAGAAAGGACGGUACCUGAGGAGGAAGCCACGGCUAACUACGUGCCAGCAGCCGCGGUAAU